rnacentral:rRNA from 1 species
ACUCCUACGGGAGGCAGCAGUGGGGAAUAUUGCACAAUGGGCGCAAGCCUGAUGCAGCCAUGCCGCGUGUGUGAAGAAGGCCUUCGGGUUGUAAAGCACUUUCAGCAGUGAGGAAGGCGGGUAUGUUAAUAGCAUAUUCGUUUGACGUUAGCUGCAGAAGAAGCACCGGCUAACUCCGUGCCAGCAGCCGCGGUAAUACGGAGGGUGCGAGCGUUAAUCGGAAUUACUGGGCGUAAAGCGCAUGCAGGUGGUUUGUUAAGUCAGAUGUGAAAGCCCGGGGCUCAACCUCGGAAUAGCAUUUGAAACUGGCAGACUAGAGUACUGUAGAGGGGGUAGAAUUUCAGGUGUAGCGGUGAAAUGCGUAGAGAUCUGAAGGAAUACCGGUGGCGAACGGCGGCCCCCGUGGACAGAUACUGACACUCAGAUGACGAAAGCGUGGGAGCAAACAGGAUUAGAUACCCCGUGGUAGCCGAUGAG